rnacentral:rRNA from 1 species
AGAGUUUGAUCCUGGCUCAGGAUGAACGCUAGCGGCAGGCCUAACACAUGCAAGUCGAGGGGUAUGGUAGCAAUACCAGAGACCGGCGCACGGGUGCGUAACGCGUAUGCAACCUACCUAUCACACGAGGAUAGCUCCCGGAAACGGGGAUUAAUACUCGAUGGCGCAUAGAUUACGCAUGUAAUUUAUAGCUAAAGCUGAGGUGGUGAUAGAUGGGCAUGCGUGCCAUUAGCUAGUUGGUGAGGUAACGGCUCGCCAAGGCUACGAUGGCUAGGGGUUCUGCAAGGAAUGUCCCCCACACUGGUACUGAGACACGGACCAGACUCCUACGGGAGGCAGCAGUGAGGAAUAUUGGUCAAUGGGCGCGAGCCUGAACCAGCCAUGCCGCGUGCAGGAUUAAGGCCCUAUGGGUCGUAAACUGCUUUUGAAUGGGAAUAAUGUGAGGCACGUGUGCUUUAUUGCAGGUACCAUUCGAAUAAGGAUCGGCUAACUCCGUGCCAGCAGCCGCGGUAAUACGGAGGAUCCGAGCGUUAUCCGGAUUUAUUAGGUUUAAAGGGUACGUAGGCUGCUAUGUAAGUCAGGGGUGAAAUACACGGGCUUAACCUGUGUGCUGCCCUUGAUACUGCGUGGCUAGAGUUGUUACGGGGCAAGCGGAAUGUGCGGAGUAGCGGUGAAAUGCAUAGAUACCGCACAGAACACCGAUAGCGAAGGCAGCUUGCCAGAUACACACUGACGCUGAGGUACGAAAGCGUGGGUAGCGAACAGGAUUAGAUACCCUGGUAGUCCACGCCGUAAACGAUGGUUACUGGCCCUAUGCAAUAUAUCGUAUGGGGCUGAGCGAAAGCAUUAAGUAACCCACCUGGGGAGUACGGCCGCAAGGCUGAAACUCAAAGGAAUUGACGGGGGCCCGCACAAGCGGAGGAACAUGUGGUUUAAUUCGAUGAUACGCGAGGAACCUUACCCGGGCUUGAAAUGCGCAGGAUGUAGGUAGAGAUAUCUAUUCACUUUUAGUGUCUGCGUGUAGGUGCUGCAUGGUUGUCGUCAGCUCGUGCCGUGAGGUGUCGGGUUAAGUCCCAUAACGAGCGCAACCCCUACCGUUAGUUACCAUCGGGUCAUGCCGGGGACUCUAGCGGGACUGCCGCCGUAAGGUGUGAGGAAGGUGGGGAUGACGUCAAAUCAGCACGGCCCUUACGUCCGGGGCUACACACGUGUUACAAUGGCCGGUACAGAGGGCAGCCACCUGGUGACAGGGCGCGAAUCCCGAAAACCGGUCCAAGUUCGGAUUGGAGUCUGCAACUCGACUCCAUGAAGCUGGAUUCGCUAGUAAUCGCGCAUCAGCCACGGCGCGGUGAAUACGUUCCCGGGCCUUGUACACACCGCCCGUCAAACCAUGGGAGCCGGGGGUGCCUGAAGUCCGUAUCCGCAAGGUUCGGCCUAGGGUAAAACUGGUGACUGGGGUUAAGUCGUAACAA